UCUCGUAGCUUGCUAUGAGAACAGUUAGUGGCAGACGGGUGAGUAAUGCAUAGGAAUCUACCUAGUAGUAUAGGAUAGCCACUAGAAGUGGUGGGUAAUACUGUAUAAUCCCUGCGGGGGAAAGAUUUAUCGCUACAUGAUGAGCCUAUGUUAGAUUAGCUAGUUGGUGGGGUAAUGGCCUACCAAGGCAGUGAUCUAUAGCAGGUCUGAGAGGAUGAUCAGCCACACUGGAACUGAGACACGGUCCAGACUCCUACGGGAGGCAGCAGUGGGGAAUAUUGGACAAUGGGCGCAAGCCUGAUCCAGCUAUGCCGCGUGAGUGAGGAAGGCCUUAGGGUUGUAAAACUCUUUCAGUGGGGAAGAUAAUGACGGUACCCACAGAUGAAGUCCCGGCAAACUCCGUGCCAGCAGCCGCGGUAAUACGUAGGGGGCAAGCGUUGUUCGGAAUUAUUGGGCGUAAAGGGCAUGUAGGUGGUUUGGUUAGUUAAAGGUGAAAUGCCAGGGCUUAACCCUGGAGCUGCUUUUAAUACUGCCAGACUGGAGUCCGGGAG
rnacentral:rRNA from 1 species